rnacentral:rRNA from 1 species
UACAGAGGUCUCAAGCGUUGUUCGGAUUCAUUGGGCAUAAAGGGUGUGUAGGUGGCGCUGUAAGUCGGGUGUGAAAUUUCGGAGCUUAACUCCGAAACUGCAUUCGAUACUGCGGUGCUUGAGGACUGGAGAGGAGACUGGAAUUCAUGGUGUAGCAGUGAAAUGCGUAGAGAUCAUGAGGAAGACCAGUGGCGAAGGCGGGUCUCUGGACAGUUCCUGACACUGAGACACGAAGGCCAGGGGAGCAAACGGG